rnacentral:rRNA from 1 species
UACAGAGGUCUCAAGCGUUGUUCGGAUUCAUUGGGCGUAAAGGGUGCGUAGGUGGGCUGGUAAGUCCGUGGUGAAAUCUCCAAGCUUAACUUGGAAACUGCCGUGGAUACUAUUAGUCUUGAAUCUCGUGGAGGUAAGCGGAAUAUGUCAUGUAGCGGUGAAAUGCUUAGAUAUGACAUAGAACACCGAUAGCGAAGGCAGCUUGCUACACGAGUAUUGACACUGAGGCACGGAAAAGCGUGGGGAUCAAACAGG